GCCGGGGUAGCCAACUUGGUGACGGCGGAGGUUUGAAAAACCUUUCAUGUCGGUUCGAUUCCGACCCCCGGCA
rnacentral:tRNA from 1 species